rnacentral:rRNA from 1 species
AGUGAACGCUGGCGGUAGGCCUAACACAUGCAAGUCGAACGGCAGCACAGUAAGAGCUUGCUCUUACGGGUGGCGAGUGGCGGACGGGUGAGGAAUACAUCGGAAUCUACUUUUUCGUGGGGGAUAACGUAGGGAAACUUACGCUAAUACCGCAUACGACCUACGGGUGAAAGCGGGGGAUCUUCGGACCUUGCGCGAUUGAAUGAGCCGAUGUCGGAUUAGCUAGUUGGCGGGGUAAAGGCCCACCAAGGCGACGAUCCGUAGCUGGUCUGAGAGGAUGAUCAGCCACACUGGAACUGAGACACGGUCCAGACUCCUACGGGAGGCAGCAGUGGGGAAUAUUGGACAAUGGGCGAAAGCCUGAUCCAGCCAUACCGCGUGGGUGAAGAAGGCCUUCGGGUUGUAAAGCCCUUUUGUUGGGAAAGAAAAGCAGCAGGUUAAUACCCCGCUGUUCUGACGGUACCCAAAGAAUAAGCACCGGCUAACUUCGUG